rnacentral:rRNA from 1 species
UAUUACCGCGGCUGCUGGCACGGAGUUAGCCGGUGCUUCCUUUGAUGGUACCGUCAAAUACGACCACUAUUAAUAAUCGUACAUUUCUUCCCAUCUGACAGGAUUUUACAACCCGAAGGCCUUCAUCAUCCACGCGGCGUCGCUGCGUCAGGGUUGCCCCCAUUGCGCAAUAUUCCUCACUGCUGCCUCCCGUAGGAGU